UACGGAGGGUGCAAGCGUUAUCCGGAUUCACUGGGUUUAAAGGGUGCGUAGGUGGGUCUGUAAGUCCGUGGUGAAAUCUCCAAGCUUAACUUGGAAACUGCCAUGGAUACUAUAGGUUCUUGAAUACCGUGGAGGUGAGCGGAAUAUGUCAUGUAGCGGUGAAAUGCUUAGAUAUGACAUAGAACACCAAUUGCGAAGGCAGCUCACUACACGAAUAUUGACACUGAGGCACGAAAGCGUGGGGAUCAAACAGGG
rnacentral:rRNA from 1 species